UAAACUUCGCCGCAACUCUGCAAGAUCCAAAAGGUUAUCUUCGAUUUCUGCCUAUCUCUGCAGGAUUAAAAAAAUGUAUUACGUUUCUUCACUCUCCAAAAUCUGACGAUUGCCUCAUCCCCCUUUUCCUACUCUUAUCCUUUUCAGGUUGUCGUUCUUCUCUUUUGGUGCAUCGAUUGUAAAAGAUUUCAAUGGAAGCAAAAGGAAUCAUAUGUGGCCUCCCAGCAAAGAACGUGAUACCUAAAAUCAAACAAAAAGGUGAGCAAGGUGAAGAAAGUCCGGCAGAUGAUGAUGUGAGGGAGAUAACAAGGCUACAGUACAGAAAAAUCUCUCGCUCACCUAGGCUACUUAAUACGCAUCGAGGAAGAUGAAGAAGACAUUGAUCCAAUGUACAUGAGAAUUAUCCGAGACAUCCAAAACAAACGCCCAAAAGUAGAAGGAUCCUCACGAUAUGGAAACGCUAAUUGAAGAUUGUACUGUUAAAAUUUAUUCUCUUUGUUAUUUUGUCAACUUUGUUAACUUCCCACAUGUAUGUUUAGACUUUGUCAACUUUCAAUA